rnacentral:lncRNA from 1 species
AUAAAAAGGUCAAGAAAAAACUAUCUAUGGAAGUCCGAAUUGAUGUUGGUUUUCUCUUGAUAAAUUUCUUGAACUGGUAAAUUCUAAACGCUAUUUUACUGUCAUUCUUUAGAAAAAGCAAAAGCAAUGGCAGGAUUUUGUAUCUGGCUCUGUUACCGGGCUGCAUGACUUUGGGCAAGCAUGGUCAUCUUUGCCUCGUAGUUUAUUUGUUGGAACAUUAUCCAUCCUACCUCACAGGGUUUGUAUCAAAUAAGGGACAAAUAAGGGUUUGAUAUUUGGAAGUGUUUUCACACAGUUGCAAAGGAAUAUUCGAAUGUAAAGUGGUAAUUAUGUUCCAUGACCUUCCUCAUUUCCACCCACCCUACCCAGGACACUGAAAUGCAGGGAACGCUAGAAUCCGGUCUUGUUCAAUGUCAGCAGCCCCUUUGACCUCUUCUUUCCAUGAGACAUGAAGGAAAUAAUGCUAAUUUGCUGCCUACACAAAUUCAGAAGUUCUGGACACAUUUAGAAGCAUUUACCACUAUUAUCACUGUACUUCCAAGGAGAAUUCUGAUGCCCCAGUUCAAGGUAGGCUGGUUCCUCUGCCUCAGUUUGGCAAGAUGAAACCACUCCGCUAUGGGAGGUGAGAGCUGGGCCCGGUCACUGCGUAUGAAGAUGGUUGAGCCACUGACAGGAGCAGUAGAUUUCGCCUGAAUCUGAUCUAUUGUGCUGGCAUAGAUUCGUCUGAGAGGCAGCUGUGGAGCACUUUCUGACUUGAAUGUUUUCUAGGAAAUAAAGACCUACUACGUUCUUAUGCUUUUGCUUCAUUGUUAACUUUGUUUCUGAACCAGCAGGCUUCCGGUGGACACCUGACACCCUAUGGAUUGGGAACCAUACAGGGAGAAAGCCUGCACCUCCCUGAGGGCAUCUCAUCUCUUCUGGGGACCCAGCAAAUAUUCUUUCCAGGAAUUUGAUUGCAGGGGAGAUGCUAUGUUGUAUCAGCAGCAAGUUUCGGGCCUCACAGCUGGUGAUAAAAAUUGCUGAUACCUAUUUGGACUUUUUUCUGCUUUGCAUCUAAUGGCAAGAUUCUCAGAAGGCCACUCUCUUGUUGGAGCUCUUUGCCCACUUAUAAUUGACAAAUUGUAAUGAUGUACUUCGUGUCUAUCUUUCCCUUUGGACCACCGAUCCUGUGAUGGAAGAGACUGCGUGUUUUGCCCACUGUUGCAGCCAGCUCCUCACAUAUUUCUUGAUUGACUAUUAGCUGAAGCAGUAUUUUGGAUUCUCUUUAAGCGGACAGAGAAGAGGUGAGGAAGAAGAGGUUAAAAGAGAAAUGGAUCCCCUGAAAAGAAGGUUACUUUAUCUGGUAUCCUAUGUUGAGAGAAGCAGAGACAACCUCAGGUCCGAAUUUGUCCUCUUCCCUGAAGGGGCCUGCCUAUGACUGGGUACUACUGAGCCUUAUGAAAGACUCAGAUAGGCAACAUAAAAAAAAAAAAUCAUAAAAUGCAAGUCAACAUUUUUUCUGUGAUGGCCCCCUAAAAUUGAGGGCUUUUGAGAUAUUUUGGGUAACCUUCGGUUUAAAUGAUUUAGAGUCCUAAUUCAUGAAGAAUAUGGGAAGAUAGGGCAGACGAGGGUCCCAGGAGCUAGCUAUAGUGGGAUUGGGUGUCAGACUUCUCUUGUCCUGACUUGAAAAUCUUUCACUGUUUAAAUCUCUUAUUUUCUAAAUCAAAACUAUAAUGCGGGGGCACCUGGGUGGCUCAGUGGUGGAGCGUCUGCCUUUGCCUCGGGUCAUGAUCCUGGGGUCCUGGGAUGGAGUCCCACAUCUGGCUUCUCCCAGGGAGCCUGCUUCUCCCUUUGCCUAUGUCUCUGUGUCUCUCAUGAAUAAAUAAGUAAAAUCUUAAAAACAAAACAAAACUAUAAUGCUGUACAAGAGAUAAAACACCUAGACUGUAUUUAGCCCUUGAUUGAGAUGUGAUAUGACUUCAAGGCUAUUCUAUGUUAAAAUAUGGCAGCUAAUUAUUUUUCAUCUCCAGUGAAAUGGGAAAAUCUGAGAUGACAGAACCUUUAAGGUGAUGAAAAGGAUGGAGGAGAAAGCCAACAAUUUUUUUUUAAAUUUGAAGUUCAGGGGAAAUUACGAAGUCUCCUACUCUAGGGGUAUUUAGGAAGAGGGUAGAGCCCAUUUCCCUGAGAUUGUGAGAAAAACAAAGGGCAAUUCUAUGUGAACAGUGGCAACCACUUAGUCUUUUUUUGUGUUUCAAUAAGAACAGCAAGACCACACUUGUAGGAAAACUCUAAAAAUCUGCCUUUGGAGUUCACAGAGUGAACAAGUCUCUUCUUACAGAGGAGUCCCAUCCAAGCCAAACUAUUCCUCUGGCCUUUUAGAAACUCAUGGAGAAGGCUGGUCUGUGAGUCCUGUGAAGCUUAUUUGAAUUAAUGUGUGUUAAGUCCUACGAUUUAGCAGGCACUCUAUCUCACUGGCGAUGGU